GCUUCUGCAAGCACCAAGGACUAGAGCUGAUGGCCUCCGGUUGCCACUAAAAUCCUUUCAGCUGGAGGAGGAGAUCACAGGAUGAAUGCCAGAGUCACUUCAGUACUGCUCCCUGAUGUCCUUCCCUGCACUCUGUAAUGGUGAAUCCUUCUGCUGGCCAAGAAAAGAAUGAGUCACCCCGGAAUGGAAGAAUGAUGAAUCACCACACGGCCCUCUUCAUGAAUUCCAACAGGAACGUGGAUUUGAAGAUAAUUAUCAUAGGAGCACUGGGGUAAGCAGAAUCCUUCCUACUGGAGUCCAACAGUCCUGAGGGUUUGUUCUCAUGAAGGCUAAAUGAGUCC
rnacentral:lncRNA from 1 species